CUAUGGUGGUAAAUACAGAGAUGUCCACACCCUAGAACAACAUAUGAUCAGUGUCCUCUCCAUAGUCACUGAGCACAUAGGUCCUCAUCAUGGGAUGGAGCUGGAUCAUCCUCUUCCUCCUGUCAGUAACUACAGGUGUCCACUCCCAGGUCCAGCUGCAGCAGUCUGGUCCUGGACUGGGAAAACCUGGUUCCUCAGUGAAGUUGACUUGCAAGGCUUCUGGCUAUGCCUUCACUGACUAUGAAAUGAACUGGGUGAAACAGAGUCCUAGACAGGGCCUGGAGUGGAUUGGAGCUAUUAAUCCUGGAAAUGGUGGUACUGCCUACAAUCAGAAGUUCAAGGGCAAGGCCACACUGACUGUAGACACAUCCAUCAGCACAGCUUACAUGGAUCUCAGCAGCCUGACCUCUGAGGACUCUGCGGUCUAUUACUGUGCAAGACACACAGUGUUACAACCCACAUCCUGA